AGAGUUUGAUUCCAUGGCUCAGAAUCAACGCUGGCGGCGUGCCUAACACAUGCAAGUCGAACGCGGUUAUCCCGCAAGGGAUAGCUGAGUGGCGAACGGGUGAGUAACACGUGGGUGACCUACCUUCGAGUGGGGGAUAACGUCCCGAAAGGGACGCUAAUACCGCAUAACAUCCUGCCUUUGAACAGGUGGAGAUCAAAGCUGGGGAUCGCAAGACCUGGCGUUUGAAGAGGGGCCCGCGUCUGAUUAGCUAGUUGGUGAGGUAACGGCCCACCAAGGCUACGAUCAGUAUCCGGCCUGAGAGGGCGGACGGACACACUGGGACUGAGACACGGCCCAGACUCCUACGGGAGGCAGCAGUGGGGAAUUGUUCACAAUGGGCGCAAGCCUGAUGACGCAACGCCGCGUGGAGGAUGAAGGUCUUCGGAUUGUAAACUCCUGUUGCUCGGGACGAAAAGCUCUGACCUAACACGUCAGGGUCUGACGGUACCGAGUGAGGAAGCCCCGGCUAACUCUGUGCCAGCAGCCGCGGUAAUACAGAGGGGGCAAGCGUUGUUCGGAAUUACUGGGCGUAAAGGGCGCGUAGGCGGCCUUCUAAGUCAGACGUGAAAUCCCCGGGCUCAACCCGGGAACUGCGUCUGAUACUGGAGGGCUUGAAUCCGGGAGAGGGAUGCGGAAUUCCAGGUGUAGCGGUGAAAUGCGUAGAUAUCUGGAGGAACACCGGUGGCGAAGGCGGCAUCCUGGACCGGUAUUGACGCUGAGGCGCGAAAGCCAGGGGAGCAAACGGGAUUAGAUACCCCGGUAGUCCUGGCCCUAAACGAU
rnacentral:rRNA from 1 species